rnacentral:misc_RNA from 1 species
GGAAUGUAUCUGAAAAAGAAAUUUUACAUUGAAAUCCAUGUCAAGCUGCUUUCAUAAUGUAUUCAAAACUAUCUUAAGAAUCUAAAGAAUCAAGAAGUAGGCUGACAUUUCUAAACAACAUCCAAGGCUUUCUGUAACUCAAAUAUACUUUUGAUUCUUUAUUGGGACAUGAUUGCAGACCCACCACUCAUGUCUUAGACAACUUUUCGCCACCAUCAAGCAUUUGGCCAUCACGAACAAGGACUUCUUUGUUCCUUGAGAGUAGAUUCCUUCAGGCCAUUCGUUGUCAACUAUUAUUGGAGCUUACCUCUGAGCCUUCAAUUCCUUCACUCUCUCUUCAGUAGCCUUCAGUGCCUUCCCAUAAAUGCUGAUUAACUCAUCAACUUCUUGAGGAGACAUCAUAAAUGGUGGAGACAUCAUUAUAGUAUCCCCUGCAACACGUACUAGCAUACCAUUUUUCUGACAUUCGGCUCCAAAAUAUGCACCAACUCCCCAUUCAGGUGGGAAUGGAUCAUUUGGUGAUUUAUUGUCUACAAACUCUGUGCCUAAGAUCAAGCCAGUCCCCCGUAUCUCUCCAACGAUAGGGCUAUCAGAAAAAGCUUUUAGGCCGUCUUGAAAUCUUGAGGAGAUGCUAUUUACUUUCUCCACAAUAUUCCU